ACGGAGGGUGCAAGCGUUAAUCGGAAUCACUGGGCGUAAAGCGCACGCAGGCGGUUUGUUAAGUCAGAUGUGAAAGCCCCGGGCUUAACCUGGGAACUGCAUUUGAUACUGGCGAACUAGAGUAUGGUAGAGAGAAGUGGAAUUCCGCAUGUAGCGGUGAAAUGCGUAGAGAUGCGGAGGAACAUCAGUGGCGAAGGCGACUUCUUGGACCAAUACUGACGCUCAGGUGCGAAAGCGUGGGGAGCAAACAGG
rnacentral:rRNA from 1 species